rnacentral:rRNA from 1 species
UAGGGAAUCUUCCGCAAUGGGCGAAAGCCUGACGGAGCAACGCCGCGUGAGUGAUGAAGGUCUUCGGAUCGAAAAACUCUGUUAUUAGGGAAGAACAAAUGUGUAAGUAACUAUGCACGUCUUGACGGUACCUAAUCAGAAAGCCACGGCUAACUACGUGCCAGCAGCCGCGGUAAUACGUAGGUGGCAAGCGUUAUCCGGAAUUAUUGGGCGUAAAGCGCGCGUAGGCGGUUUUUUAAGUCUGAUGUGAAAGCCCACGGCUCAACCGUGGAGGGUCAUUGGAAACUGGAAAACUUGAGUGCAGAAGAGGAAAGUGGAAUUCCAUGUGUAGCGGUGAAAUGCGCAGAGAUAUGGAGGAACACCAGUGGCGAAGGCGACUUUCUGGUCUGUAACUGACGCUGAUGUGCGAAAGCGUGGGGAUCAAACAGG